GGCGGGGUAGCUCAGUUGGAUAGAGCUCUGGAAACGUCUUCAGCCACCCUUGUCGCGGAAUCUCCACUUCAACCCGGCGAAUGCCGGUGGAACUACAUCAUUGUUACUGACCAGGUCGCCGGUUCGAGUCCGGCCCCCGCUC
rnacentral:tRNA from 1 species